UAACACAUGCAAGUCGCGUGCGCAGUUUCCGUAGCAAUACGGGAGCGGGCGCACGGUGCACGGGUGCGUAACACGUGGGCAAUCUGCCCUCCGAUGGGGAAUAACCCCGCGAAAGCGGGGCUAAUACCGCAUAACAUUCCUUAGACCUUGGUCCAGGGAUUCAAAGCAGUGAUGCGUCGGAGGAGGAGCCCGCGCCCGAUUAGGUAGUUGGUGAGGUAACGGCUCACCAAGCCAAUGAUCGGUAGCUGGUCUGAGAGGAUGGCCAGCCACACUGGAACUGAGACACGGUCCAGACUCCCACGGGAGGCAGCAGUGGGGAAUCUUGCGCAAUGGGCGAAAGCCUGACGCAGCGACGCCGCGUGGGGGAUGAAGCUUUUCGGAGUGUAAACCCCUUUCGACUGGGAAGAAUGCCCGCAAGGGAGUGACGGUACCAGUAGAAGAAGCCCCGGCUAACUACGUGCCAGCAGCCGCGGUAAGACGUAUGGGGCCAGCGUUGUUGCGAAUUACUGGGUGUAAAGGG
rnacentral:rRNA from 1 species